rnacentral:pre_miRNA from 1 species
GCAAGCCCUUGCCAGAUCCGGCAAGGAGGCCUCGCCAGAUGCGACGGCGAGCCCCCCUCGCCGGGUCUGGCGAGGGCUCCUUGCCGGAUCUGGCGAGGGCUUGC